rnacentral:sRNA from 1 species
GCUGGGUGCAGUGGUGCACACCUGUAAUCCCAACCACUAGGGAGGUUGAGGCAGGAGGAUCACAAGUUCAAGGUCAUUCUCAGCAACUUAGUCAGGCCCUAAGCAAUAGUGAGACCCUUUCUCAA